rnacentral:rRNA from 1 species
UCCUACGGGAGGCAGCAGUGGGGAAUAUUGCACAAUGGGCGCAAGCCUGAUGCAGCCAUGCCGCGUGUAUGAAGAAGGCCUUCGGGUUGUAAAGUACUUUCAGCGAGGAGGAAGGUGUUGUGGUUAAUAACCGCAGCAAUUGACGUUACUCGCAGAAGAAGCACCGGCUAACUCCGUGCCAGCAGCCGCGGUAAU